CUCUGGCGGCGUGCUUAACACAUGCAAGUCGAACGGAAAGGCCCUGCUUUUGUGGGGUGCUCGAGUGGCGAACGGGUGAGUAACACGUGAGUAACCUGCCCUUGACUUUGGGAUAACUUCAGGAAACUGGGGCUAAUACCGGAUAGGAGCUCCUGCUGCAUGGUGGGGGUUGGAAAGUUUCGGCGGUUGGGGAUGGACUCGCGGCUUAUCAGCUUGUUGGUGGGGUAGUGGCUUACCAAGGCUUUGACGGGUAGCCGGCCUGAGAGGGUGACCGGCCACAUUGGGACUGAGAUACGGCCCAGACUCCUACGGGAGGCAGCAGUGGGGAAUAUUGCACAAUGGGCGGAAGCCUGAUGCAGCAACGCCGCGUGCGGGAUGACGGCCUUCGGGUUGUAAACCGCUUUCGCCUGUGACGAAGCGUGAGUGACGGUAAUGGGUAAAGAAGCACCGGCUAACUACGUGCCAGCAGCCGCGGUGAUACGUAGGGUGCGAGCGUUGUCCGGAUUUAUUGGGCGUAAAGGGCUCGUAGGUGGUUGAUCGCGUCGGAAGUGUAAUCUUGGGGCUUAACCCUGAGCGUGCUUUCGAUACGGGUUGACUUGAGGAAGGUAGGGGAGAAUGGAAUUCCUGGUGGAGCGGUGGAAUGCGCAGAUAUCAGGAGGAACACCAGUGGCGAAGGCGGUUCUCUGGGCCUUUCCUGACGCUGAGGAGCGAAAGCGUGGGGAGCGAACAGGCUUAGAUACCCUGGUAGUCCACGCUGUAAACGGUGGGUACUAGGUGUGGGGUCCAUUCCACGGGUUCCGUGCCGUAGCUAACGCUUUAAGUACCCCGCCUGGGGAGUACGGCCGCAAGGCUAAAACUCAAAGGAAUUGACGGGGCCCCGCACAAGCGGCGGAGCAUGCGGAUUAAUUCGAUGCAACGCGUAGAACCUUACCUGGGUUUGACAUGGAUCGGGAGUGCUCAGAGAUGGGUGUGCCUCUUUUGGGGUCGGUUCACAGGUGGUGCAUGGCUGUCGUCAGCUCGUGUCGUGAGAUGUUGGGUUAAGUCCCGCAACGAGCGCAACCCUUGUUCACUGUUGCCAGCACGUUAUGGUGGGGACUCAGUGGAGACCGCCGGGGUCAACUCGGAGGAAGGUGGGGAUGACGUCAAGUCAUCAUGCCCCUUAUGUCCAGGGCUUCACGCAUGCUACAAUGGCUGGUACAGAGAGUGGCGAGCCUGUGAGGGUGAGCGAAUCUCGGAAAGCCGGUCUCAGUUCGGAUUGGGGUCUGCAACUCGACCUCAUGAAGUCGGAGUCGCUAGUAAUCGCAGAUCAGCAACGCUGCGGUGAAUACGUUCCCGGGGCUUGUACACACCGCCCGUCAAGUCAUGAAAGUUGGUAACACCCGAAGCCGGUGGCCUAACCGUUGUGGGGGAGCCGUCGAAGGUGGGACUGGUGAUUAGGACU
rnacentral:rRNA from 1 species